rnacentral:lncRNA from 1 species
GUUUGCUAUUAUUCACCGAUCUCACAUCACUUUGACGUGUAGUUAUGAGGAUUUUAUGUUUGUUGCUUGUUUUGUUGGUUAUAAAUAUUAGGUUUGGUGUUAUUCACCGAUCUCACAUCACAAACGGGUCUGGCUAAUCAUUUAGGAGCAGACUGUAGCAUGUUGAUUGUUCAUAGCGUUUCAAGGGAGCAAUUGAGAAAGGCUGGUUUAUCUCAAACGUCUCGAUGAAACCCGCGAUUGGUGGUGUGUGAGGUCGUUAGGUACAUCAGUGCACAGAAACUUGCAGUCUGAGGAGCUUGAAGUGUCAUGUUGUGUGUUGUUU